UGGGGAAUAUUGCACAAUGGGCGCAAGCCUGAUGCAGCCAUGCCGCGUGUAUGAAGAAGGCCUUCGGGUUGUAAAGUACUUUCAGUCGGGAGGAAGGUGGUAAGGUUAAUAACCUUAUCAAUUGACGUUACCGACAGAAGAAGCACCGGCUAACUCCGCGACAGCAGCCGCGGUAAUACGGAGGGUGCAAGCGUUAAUCGGAAUUACUGGGCGUAAAGCGCACGCAGGCGGUUGAUUGAGUCAGAUGUGAAAUCCCCGGGCUUAACCCGGGAAUUGCAUCUGAUACUGGUCAGCUAGAGUGUUGUAGAGGGGGGUAGAAUUCCAUGUGUAGCGGUGAAAUGCGUAGAGAUGUGGAGGAAGGCCGGUGGCGGAGGCGGCCCCCUGGACAAAGACUGACGCUCAGGUGCGAAAGCGUGGGGAGCAAACAGG
rnacentral:rRNA from 1 species